rfam:Ictidomys tridecemlineatus contig020222, whole genome shotgun sequence.
GGGGUUGUGGCUCAGCAGUGGAGCACUCAUCUGGCACAUGGGAGGCCCUGGGUUCGAUCCUCAGCACCA